rnacentral:rRNA from 1 species
GAUGAACGCUGGCGGCGUGCUUAACACAUGCAAGUCGAACGGAAAGGCUCCUGCUUGCAGGGGUACUCGAGUGGCGAACGGGUGAGUAACACGUGGGUGAUCUGCCCUGCACUUCGGGAUAAGCCUGGGAAACUGGGUCUAAUACCGGAUAGGACCACAUUUUGGAUGGUGUGGUGGAAAGUUUUUCGGUGUGGGAUGAGCUCGCGGCCUAUCAGCUGUUGGUGGGGGAAUGGCCUACCAAGGCGUCGACGGGUAGCCGGCCUGAGAGGGUGUACGGCCACAUUGGGACUGAGAUACGGCCCAGACUCCUACGGGAGGCAGCAGUGGGGAAUAUUGCACAAUGGGCGCAAGCCUGAUGCAGCGACGCCGCGUGGGGGAUGACGGCCUUCGGGUUGUAAACUCCUUUCGCUAGGGACGAAGCGCAAGUGACGGUACCUGGAGAAGAAGCACCGGCUAACUACGUG